rnacentral:rRNA from 1 species
AGUCUAUUCAGAGGAACCUGUCCUGUAAUUGAUAAUCCACGAUGAACCUUACUUAAAUUUGUCUUUCAGUUUAUAUACCGUCGUUAUCAGAAUAUUUUAUUAGAAUAAUAAUUUUCUAUAAUUUUAAUAGGAAUGUAUAUCAGAUCAAGGUGUAGCUUAUAUUUGAGUAGAGAUGGGUUACAAUAAAUAUAUUUAAACGGAUCUAAUUAUGAAAUAUUUUUAGUGAAGGUGGAUUUGAUAGUAAAAUUUUAAAGAUUGUGAAUUUGAUUUUAGCUCUAGAAUAUGCACACAUCGCCCGUCGCUCUUACUAUUAAGGUAAGAUAAGUCGUAACAUAGUAGAUGUACCGGAAGGUGUAUCUAGAAUGA